CCCCUCUCCCAGUUCCUCAGGUGUGUUGUUGUCCUUCUCUCCCAGUUCCUCAGGUGUGUUGUCCCUCUCUCCCAGUUCCUCAGGUGUGUUGUUGUCCCUCUCUCCCAGUUCCUCAGGUGUGUUGUUGUCCCCCUCCCAGUUCCUCAGGUGUGUUGUUGUCCCCCUCUCCCAGUUCCUCAGGUGUGUUGUUGUCCUUCUCUCCCAGUUCCUCAGGUGUGAACACGAGCAGUGGCAGUUUUCCAAAUCCCACUCCUCCCAGUAUUCUGAAAUCAGCGUCACACACACCCCUCUCCGUGGAUCAGAGUCCAGAUUCCGGAAUCGUCACAACCCCUUGUGUUCUCCUGUUUGCCAAAACUCAGUUCUGGAUGGAAUCCCCAAGCUCCCAGAAGAUUCCAUGACUCCUGGACUCCAACUCCCAGCAGACACCAGGAUGUGUAACAUUCUGUGACAUCAAACUGAGGGGUUUAGGACUAUAAUAGUAAUUUCAUAAAUAAUUCACUCUAGACAUUUUUAGUAGGCCUACUAAUGCUGUAUAUUGUGUAUAUUUGAUCACACUGUUGUUUUUACUUGUCCCAGGGUUUGAGUUGUGUGACUGGACCGUGUUAGGCUGAUGUAGGAAGACACUUGUCCCGGGGUUUGAGUUGUGUGACUGGACCGUGUUAGGCUGAUGUAGGAAGACACUUGUCCCGGGGUUUGAGUUGUGUGACUGGACCGUGUUAGGCUGAUGUAGGAAGACACUUGUCCCGGGGUUUGAGUUGUGUGACUGGACCGUGUUAGGCUGAUGUAGGAAGACACUUGUCCCGGGGUUUGAGUUGUGUGACUGGACCGUGUUAGGCUGAUGUAGGAAGACACUUGUCCCGGGGUUUGAGUUGUGUGACUGGACCGUGUUAGGCUGAUGUAGGAAGACACUUGUCCCGGGUUUGAGUUGUGUGACUGGACUGUGUUAGGCUGAUGUAGGAAGACACUUGUCCCGGGGUUUGAGUUGUGUGACUGGACCGUGUUAGGCUGAUGUAGGAAGACACUUGUCCCGGGGUUUGAGUUGUGUGACUGGGCCGUGUUAGGCUGAUGUAGGAAGACACUUGUCCCGGGGUUUGAGUUGUGUGACUGGACCGUGUUAGGCUGAUGUAGGAAGACACUUGUCCCGGGGUUUGAGUUGUGUGACUGGACCGUGUUAGGCUGAUGUAGGAAGACACUUGUCCCGGGGUUUGAGUUGUGUGACUGGACCGUGUUAGGCUGAUGUAGGAAGACACUUGUCCCGGGGUUUGAGUUGUGUGACUGGAAUGUGUUAGGCUGAUGUAGGAAGACACUUGUCCCGGGGUUUGAGUUGUGUGACUGGACUGUGUUAGGCUGAUGUAGGAAGACACUUGUCCCGGGGUUUGAGUUGUGUGACUGGACUGUGUUAGGCUGAUGUAGGAAGACACUUGUCCCGGGGUUUGAGUUGUGUGACUGGACUGUGUUAGGCUGAUGUAGGAAGACACUGAGGCUCAUGUUGGAACUUGGCUUUGCGGGAGGGAGAUAUCUUAUCAGGCAGGUACAUGAUGCUGUCCUACUGGCACAGAGAACAGUGGGGUCAGAGGUCAUUCUUCUCAAGCCUCACAGCAAUCCCAACUGUGUACAACAUAGACAUCACUCUGACCCUCCACCUCCAUCCUCUUCCUCCCUCCCCUCUUUCAAACAACACUCCUGUACCCUCUUAUGAUGACUGUUUAAUGACCCCUGUGCUUCAUGUGACAGGACACACACACAGGAUAAUGGGUCACAUUCAGAAUGUCCCAUCCUGUCUGUCAACAGCAGUUCAUUUAUUCAUAUCCAGUAGCAUCAGAAUUAUUUUUUAAUAAUGGUGUUGACAUCACUUCCCCCUGAAACCUCAACAGGCAGAGACUGUGGACCUGAACACAGACUCAUGCUCUCACGCACGCUCUUGAUUGGUCCGCUUGUCCCGUCCAACCCCCACCUCCUUGUCUUAGAAGUUCUCCGCCUCGUGGAUCUCUGCUUCUUGGUCUCUCGGGACAACAACACUAUAGAGCACUGAGUGUUCUUUACCUUGGUCUCUCUGGACAACAACACUCUAGACCACUGAGUGUCCAUUACCUUGGUCUCUCGGGACAACAACACUCUAGAGCACUGAGUAUCCUUUACCUUGGUGUCUCAGGACAACAACACUCUAGACCACUGAGUGUCCAUUACCUUGGUCUCUCUGGACAACAACACUCUAGAGCACUGAGUGUCCAUUACCUUGGUCUCGCAGGACAACACUGAGUGUCCAUUACCUUGGUCUCUCGGGACAACAACACUCUAGAGCACUGAGUGUCCUUUACCUUGGUCUCUCGGGACAACAACACUCUAGAGCACUGAGUGUCCUUUACCUUGGUCUCUCGGGACAACAACACUCUAGAUCACUGAGUAUUCUUUAACUUGGUGUCUCAGGACAACAACACUCUAAAGCACUGAGUAUUCUUUACCUUGGUGUCUCAGGACAACAACACUCUAGAGCACUGAGUGUCCAUUACCUUGGUCUCUCAGGACAACACUGAGUGUCCAUUACCUUGGUCUCUCGGGACAACAACACUCUAGAGCACUGAGUGUCCUUUACCUUGGUCUCUCUGGACAACAACACUCUAGACCACUGAGUGUCCAUUACCUUGGUCUCUCGGGACAACAACACUCUAGAGCACUGAGUGUCCUUUACCUUGGUCUCUCAGGACAACACUCUAGAGCACUGAGUGUCCUUUACCUUGGUCUCUCAGGACAACAACACUCUAGACCACUGAGUGUCCAUUACCUUGGUCUCUCGGGACAACAACACUCUAGACCACUGAGUGUCCAUUACCUUGGUCUCUCGGGACAACAACACUCUAGAGCACUGAGUGUCCUUUACCUUGGUCUCUCGGGACAACAACACUCUAGAGCACUGAGUGUCCUUUACCUUGGUCUCUCAGGACAACACUCUAGAGCACUGAGUGUCCAUUACCUUGGUCUCUCUGGACAACACUCUAGAGCACUGAGUGUCCAUUACCUUAGUCUCUCGGGACAACAACACUCUAGAGCACUGAGUGUCCAUUACCUUGGUCUCUCUGGACAACAACACUCUAGAGCACUGAGUGUCCAUUACCUUGGUCUCUCCGGCCAACAACACUCUAGAGCACUGAGUGUCCAUUACCUUGGUCUCUCUGGACAACAAGAAGACUGCAUGAUAGUAUUGCAAUACUAUUAGUAAUACUAAAUAUUUGGGACGUUCCCUUGGGGCUGAAUCCUAAAUUGAGAUUCACUCUUAAUUCAAACCUUCACAUGAAUCAUGCAUCGAUGUCAAAAGAAGAUUUGGGGAGAGGGAUUGGUUAUGUAUUUGCGUCUCAAAAGAAGAUUUGGGGAGAGGGAUUGGUUAUGUAUUUGCGUCUCAAGAUAGGAUUUGGCCUCUGGCAACAGGAGACACGGAAACGAUUAAUGAAUAGUUAUUCAUCCAAUAGGAGACCAGAAAAGGCCUCCAUGACUCCCGAUGAGACCUUGAAGAGAGAGAGCUUAGCAUCACUGAACACUCAUGACUGUAGGGUGUGUGUGUGUGUGUGUGUGCGCGCGCUACACCAGCCUGCUAUUAGCACAUUAAUGAGUCACCUCUGAAAUCGUUCCCACUCCAACAUCCCAGAGCCCCCCCCCCCAGGGGGGGAACACACAGAGGAAGAGGGCCAACGUGGCUGAUGAGAUUAUCUUGGUCCUCGGGGGUAAAGGCUGAAGACGAGUGAAAUGUGUGUUUGAAGUAUUUUCUCUCUCAAGUCUCAUUGUCAUUCUGUUCAGAGCCGUUUGAUUUCCUAAAGGAAAGGUGAGAUGGACUGUAUCAGUUCACCUCUGGUAGCUCCACUGCAGCAAGAGACAUGGCAUCAUGUUAGUUCCUCACACCAACCUCUAGGUACUAAAUCUUUUAUACGUUUAAUUCAACCACAUUCACUUUGUUGUUACCAAAUAAACCUUUUCAGGCAGGUGGAAAAAUAUGUCCAAAUGUGUGUAUUUCUAUACAUUAGACAGUAGUGAUUAAGGAUUGGGUGAACAGGUCAAGUGGACAUUUGUGAUUUACAUCCAGGUCAACAGGUCAACUACACUAUGAAAGGACCUGUGAUCCACUGGCAAUGCGUACUCAGCUAGUAACAAGAGGACCAGCAACGUCGACAAGUCAAACAGAAGAAUGAAAAUGAACGGCUGCUUUUUUCCCCCUACUGUUGUCAUCCGUGAUACAGCAGUUCUUCCCUGCAGGAAUGACAGUCGAUUUCAUAACGCUUUGAGAACGUUGGAGAAUCAUUGUCAGAUCCACCCAUAAGGAUCAUAAUAAUACAUAAAACAGCAGAUUGGAAAGCAUGUCCUACUAAAAAACGUACAUUGCGAGGAA